GAAAACUUUAAAACUACCGUUGGAACAAAAAAUGGACGUUCGAGAUUCGUCCACGUCAUCACAAGUAAAAAUUUUACUCACAUUAAAAUUUUAACUGAUCAUGAGUAAAUUCGUGAGUAAAUUUUUUACUCGUGAUGACGUGGAUGAAUCUCGGAUGUCUAUUUUUCGAUUAAACGGCGGUUUUCUAGUUUCC
rnacentral:pre_miRNA from 1 species